UCUUCAUUCAAUUCUGUGGUGCUAUGAAUUCAGAUGGGAAGAUAAUUGAUAAGAAUCAAAGUAAUAAGAAGUAGUAAAAGGUAAUAGAGGAGAUGGCUUAUAAAGACAGCAUUGAAGACUGUGUAGGAUUUGAAUUGUUGAGGGCUUUCCACUUGGAAGUUAUGCAUAGGUUCAUGAUUUGGUGAGGAAAACAGCAAAAUUCAAGUGAAAUAGACAGGAGUAAUGGGAUAGAAGUUUAGAUAGAGGUUAUGAAGCACCUUGAAAGUGGGGUCAAAGAUGGGUGCAAUGGUGCAUGCCGAUAAUCCCAACGGCCUAGGAGGCUGAGGCAGGAGAAUCUUAAGUUCAAAGCCAGCCUCAGCAAUUUAGCGAGGCACUGAGCAACUCAGUGAGAUCCUGUCUCUAAAAUAAAAUACAAAAUAGGGCUGGGGAUGUGGCUCAGUGGUUGAGUGCCCCUGAGUUCAAUCCCCAGUAACAAAAAAAGAAAAGAAAGUGGGGUCAAAUAGUUAAAAUCUGACUAAUAGCUAACAUUUACUGAGAGCUUGAAACUCUGCCAGGCAAUGUUCUAAACACUUUAAAAAUAUUAAUUCAUUUAGGUCUGGGAAUAAAGCUCAGUGUUAGGGUAUUAUCUAAUAUGUAAUAUGUAUGAGGCGCUGGGUUCCAACCUCAGCACUGCAAAAAUAAUAACAAAAUUCACAUAACUCUCUAAGGAAAGUAGUAGUAUUUUCUCAAUUUUUAUUUUUUUGAACUGGGUAUUGAACCUAAGGGUGCGUUUUAACCACUGAACCACAUCCCCAGCCGCCACCCCUUUUUAAAAAUUUUUAAAUUUAGAUACGGGUUCUCACUGACUUGCUUAGGGCCUUCCUUGCUAAGUUGCUGAGGCUGGCUUUGAACUCGAAAUCCUCCUGCCUCAACCUCCUCAGCUGCUGAGAUUAUAGGCAUGCACCACCACAACACCUGUCUCUUUUCUCAAUUUUUACGUAAGGAAAUAGAGAUACAGAUGAUUGACUUUCCCUCAGCUACAUAGCUAAUAAAUAGCAGAGCCAGAAACUAAAUCCAGGCAGUUAGAAUCCAGAAACUUAACUUUUUCUUCCUUUUUUGCAGUACUAGGAUUGAACACAGGAGUGCUCUACCACUGAGCUACAUCCCCAGUUGCCCCCAAAAUCCCCCCUUUUUUUAAUUUUGAGAAAGUCUUGCCAAGCUAGACUUAAACUUGUGAUUGUCCUACCUCAGCCUCCCAAAUUGCUGAGAUUACACAUCUGAGCCACUGAACCCAGCUCAGAAACUUAACUAUCAACCACUACACCAAAUAAGGAAACAGAACAAUUUAAAAUGUUGGUUGUAGAGGUGGGCAGAAAAAGAGAGCUCAGGCAGUGGAGGCCAUGACAAAAGCCAUUCUCUUUUUUUUCAUAUGAAUCCAAAAAAACAAGAGUUGGGAAAGGAGAAAAAGCCCAAUGUGGGAGGAAUCUAGUUCCUAGAAAAAGACUGAGAAGAGAAGCCGUCAUCGUGCAGGUAUUCUAAGAAUGGUGCUUCUCUGCACAAAAUUAUGAAGAAGGUUACUUGUAUAGUUAGUAUCUUACUGAGUGACUGAUCUCAUGUUCCCCCUUCAGGUCCUCUUUCAUCUGGGGCCUGCCCUCAGGGAUCUAAGCAUGUAUUCAUCACUAUCCUCCCCAUCUUCUCUCAGUCCCAUCUGCCUGACAAUACUUCCCUGAACACUUACCCAUUGUUUACCAGACAAGUGUCCUAACAAGUUUGCUAUUUCCAUUUUCCUAUGCAAUUCCUCAUCCCCUACUUAUCCUUCUCUAAGGACCUCAGCCAUUCCCUUAAAGCACAGAUUCUGUGUUUUCUGAAAUAACCUUUAGCAAAUCUAGAAAACAGUCUGUUCUAAUGGAAGAAAAUGGGGAAGAGGGAGUACUCUAUUCUGGGCUGACCCUUAAUUUAGGAAUGAUAUACACAUUUUAAUGCAAAACUUAUUUCAAAGAACUUCUUGUAUUGGAGCUCUUAAUUCAAGAGUAACUUUAUCCCUCAGGUAUGGGAAUUUCAAGUGAAUUUUAAAAAAUGUCAUAGUCAACUGGUGAAUGAGAUUUUUUCAUGGCACUUGUUGUGUAACACUCAUCCUUCACUGAGACUUAAGCAUUAGCCCGCUAAUGAAGUAUUUUAAAACAGCGCAAAAAAAGCACAUGAAAAGAUGUUCAACAUCAGUAGUCACUAGGGAAAUGCAAAUCCAAUAAAAACUAUAAUGAAAAAACAUUGUAAACUUAAAAAUUACAAUUAAAAAACUGACAAUAUCACAUGUUGGCAAGAUGUACAGCUUUCACACACUAGGUGGGAAUGUAAAAUGGCACAAGCACUUCGUAAAAGAGAUUGGCAGAUUGGCAGUUAUUUUCAAAAGGUAAGUGGAAAUUUACCAUACGAUCUAGACAUUCCACUCCUGGGUUUUGACUCAGAAAUAAUGAUAAUGUGUGUCUGCACAAAAACUUGUACACAAAUGUCCAUAAUAAUUUUAUAUGUAAUAACCAAAACCUGGAAACACCCCUAAUGUUCAUGAUCAAGUGAAGAAUACACCAAUUGUGAUAAAUCUGUACAAUAGAAUACUUGGCAAUAAAAUAUAAUAAACUCCUGAC
rnacentral:lncRNA from 1 species